rnacentral:rRNA from 1 species
AGGACGAACGCUGGCGGCGUGCUUAACACAUGCAAGUCGAGCGGUAAGGCUCCUUCGGGAGUACACGAGCGGCGAACGGGUGAGUAACACGUGAGCAAUCUGCCCUUCACUUUGGGAUAACUUCCGGAAACGGAAGCUAAUACCGAAUACGACCACUUCAGGCAUCUGAUGGUGGUGGAAAGCUCCGGCGGUGAAGGAUGAGCUCGCGGCCUAUCAGCUUGUUGGUGAGGUAAUGGCUCACCAAGGCUUCGACGGGUAGCCGGCCUGAGAGGGUGACCGGCCACACUGGGACUGAGACACGGCCCAGACUCCUACGGGAGGCAGCAGUGGGGAAUAUUGGACAAUGGGCGAAAGCCUGAUCCAGCAACGCCGCGUGAGGGAUGACUGCCUUCGGGUUGUAAACCUCUUUCAGCGGGGACGAAGCGAAAGUGACGGUACCGCAGAAGAAGCACCGGCCAACUACGUGCCAGCAGCCGCGGU